rnacentral:rRNA from 1 species
GUUGUUGCAGUUAAAAAGCUCGUAGUUGGAUUUCUACCAUAUUUUGCCUAUUCCGGAUCAGAUAAUCUUUCGGUAAUGGAGCUGAAGUGGGUAUCCUAUCAUGAAGUAGCGGCCCCGUGUCGUUGCUGAGUGGUUCUUUUACUUUGAAAAAAUUAGAGUGUUUAAAGCAGGCUUGCGCAUGAAUACAUUAGCAUGGAAUAAUAACAUAGGACUUUGGUCUCUAUUUUGUUGGUUUCUAGGACUAAAGUAAUGAUUGAUAGGGAUAGUUGGGGGUGCUAGUAUUGAGCGGCCAGAGGUGAAAUUCUUAGAUUCGCUCAUGACUAACUUAUGCGAAAGCAUUCACCAAGGAUGUCUUCUUUAAUCAAGAACGAAAGUUGGGGGAUCGAAGACGAUCAGAUACCGUCGUAGUCUCAACCAUAAACUAUACCGACUAAGGAUGAGUGAUCGUUGCAUUUUCGACUUCAUUCGCACUUUAUGAGAAAUCAAAGUCUUUGGGUUCCGGGGGGAGUAUGGUCGCAAGGCUGAAACUUAAAGGAAUUGACGGAAGGGCACCACCAGGGAUGGAGCCUGCGGCUUAAUUUGACUCAACACGGGGAAACUUACCAGGUCCAGACGUAGUGAGGAUUGACAGAUUGAAGAUCUUUCU